CUGAGGUUAAGAGCACUGGCUGCU
rnacentral:piRNA from 1 species